GACGAACGCUGGCGGCGUGCCUAAUACAUGCAAGUCGAACGCAUUUUCUUUCACCGUAGCUUGCUACACCGAAAGAAAAUGAGUGGCGAACGGGUGAGUAACACGUUGGUAACCUGCCCAUCAGCGGGGGAUAACACUUGGAAACAGGUGCUAAUACCGCAUAAUUCCAUUUACCGCAUGGUAGAUGGGUGAAAGGCGCUUUUGCGUCACUGAUGGAUGGACCCGCGGUGCAUUAGCUAGUUGGUGGGGUAACGGCCUACCAAGGCUGCGAUGCAUAGCCGACCUGAGAGGGUGAUCGGCCACACUGGGACUGAGACACGGCCCAGACUCCUACGGGAGGCAGCAGUAGGGAAUCUUCGGCAAUGGACGAAAGUCUGACCGAGCAACGCCGCGUGAGUGAAGAAGGUUUUCGGAUCGUAAAACUCUGUUGUUAGAGAAGAACAAGGAUGAGAGUGGAAAGUUCAUCCCUUGACGGUAUCUAACCAGAAAGCCACGGCUAACUACGUG
rnacentral:rRNA from 1 species